GCGGCAAAUAGUAGAGUUAACAAUAUUGGAAAAGGAUUUAAUAUCUGUGAUAGCGGCAAUGAUGAAAAUAAGGGUCCUGAAAAGUUAGGAGCCAUUGUAUUUCCCUCGACGCCCACUCAACAAAUUACAAAUGCAACACCGAGUCCUACAACACCUCGAAAAUCAUCAGAUUAUCCUCUGCAGGCGACAAGUACAACAACGCCACCUGUUGCAGC